GUCUACGGCCAUACCACCCUGAACGCGCCUGAUCUCGUCUGAUCUCAGAAGCUAAGCAGGGUCGGGCCUGGUUAGUACUUGGAUGGGAGACCACCUGGGAAUACCAGGUGCUGUAGGCU
rnacentral:rRNA from 1 species